rnacentral:rRNA from 1 species
UGCGCUGGCGGCGUGCUAUACAUGCAGUCGAGCGCGGGAAGCAAACUGAACUCUUCGGAGGGACGUUUGUGGAACGAUCGGCGGACGGGUGAGUAACACGUGGGCAACCUGCCUGUAAGACUGGGAUAACUCCGGGAAACCGGGGCUAAUACCGGAUAACACUUUUUCUCUCAUGAGGAGAAGUUGAAAGGUGGCUUCGGCUACCACUUACAGAUGGGCCCGCGGUGCAUUAGCUAGUUGGUGAGGUAACGGCUCACCAAGGCAACGAUGCAUAGCCGACCUGAGAGGGUGAUCGGCCACACUGGGACUGAGACACGGCCCAGACUCCUACGGGAGGCAGCAGUAGGGAAUCUUCCGCAAUGGACGAAAGUCUGACGGAGCAACGCCGCGUGAACGAAGAAGGUUUUCGGAUCGUAAAGUUCUGUUGUUAGGGAAGAACAAGUACCGUUCGAACAGGGCGGUACCUUGACGGUACCUAUCGAGGAAGCCCCGGCUAACUACGUGCCAGCAGCCGCGGUAAUACGUAGGGGGCAAGCGUUGUCCGGAAUUAUUGGGCGUAAAGCGCGCGUAGGCGGUUUCUUAAGUCUGAUGUGAAAUCUUGCGGCUCAACCGCAAGCGGUCAUUGGAAACUGGGGAACUUGAGUACAGAAGAGGAGAGCGGAAUUCCACGUGUAGCGGUGAAAUGCGUAGAUAUGUGGAGGAACACCAGUGGCGAAGGCGGCUCUCUGGUCUGUAACUGACGCUGAGGUGCGAAAGCGUGGGGAGCGAACAGGAUUAGAUACCCUGGUAGUCCACGCCGUAAACGAUGAGUGCUAGGUGUUAGGGGGUUUCCGCCCCUUAGUGCUGCAGUUAACGCAUUAAGCACUCCGCCUGGGGAGUACGGCCGCAAGGCUGAAACUCAAAAGAAUUGACGGGGGCCCGCA